rnacentral:rRNA from 1 species
AUUGAACGCUGGCGGCAGGCCUAACACAUGCAAGUCGAACGAGUGGAGGACGGGUGAGUAAUGUCUGGGACACUGCCCGAUGGAGGGGGAUAACUACUGGAAACGGUAGCUAAUACCGCAUACAAUCGGAUGGGCCCAUAUGGGAUUAGCUAGUAGGUGGGGUAACGUCUCACCUAGGCGACGAACCCUAGCUGGUCAGAGAGGAUGACCAUCCACACGUGAACUGAGGCACGGUCGAGACUCCUACGGGAGGCAGAGGUGGGGAAUAUUGCACAAUGGGCGCAAGCCUGAUGCAGCCAUGCCGCGUGGAUGAAGAAGUCCUUCGGGUUGUAAAGUACUUUCAGCGAGGAGGCGUUACUCGCAGAAGAAGCACCGGCUAACUCCGUGCCAGCAGCCGCGGUAAUUC